GCCCAGAUCGCAUAACCUGGUAUUGCGUCGGUCUCGAAUCGUUGAAAGAAAACCGAUGCCGAAAGGCUUCCCGGUUCAAAUCCGGGUCUGGGCG
rnacentral:tRNA from 1 species